GCCGGAGUGGCGGAAUUGGUAGACGCGCUAGAUUCAGGUUCUAGUACUCGCAAGGGUGUGCUGGUUCGAUUCCAGUCUUCGGCACCA
rnacentral:tRNA from 11 species